CACUCCUACGGGAGGCAGCAGUGGGGAAUUUUGGACAAUGGGCGCAAGCCUGAUCCAGCCAUGCCGCGUGCGGGAAGAAGGCCUUCGGGUUGUAAACCGCUUUUGUCAGGGAAGAAAAGGUUCUGGCUAAUACCUGGGACUCAUGACGGUACCUGAAGAAUAAGCACCGGCUAACUACGUGCCAGCAGCCGCGGUAAUACGUAGGGUGCAAGCGUUAAUCGGAAUUACUGGGCGUAAAGCGUGCGCAGGCGGUUAUGCAAGACAGAGGUGAAAUCCCCGGGCUCAACCUGGGAACUGCCUUUGUGACUGCAUGGCUAGAGUACGGUAGAGGGGGAUGGAAUUCCGCGUGUAGCAGUGAAAUGCGUAGAUAUGCGGAGGAACACCGAUGGCGAAGGCAAUCCCCUGGACCUGUACUGACGCUCAUGCACGAAAGCGUGGGGAGCAAACAGGAUUAGAUACCCCGGUAGUCC
rnacentral:rRNA from 1 species